ACCCUUUUAAUAGAUCCUUGAUAACAGCAUGGGAAAAAAUAUCGUAAAGUGGUUCUUACUGUCGUGAUGAAAAAACAAUAAAGAUGUGGCUAAAUAAAGCGUCAGGAAAGCUAACAGCAGCACUGGCUCGGAGUUCCCUGUCGGAGGAGCGUCUCUGGUGAAGCCGACCUCAGCCAACCGGUCGUGGGGCGCAGUGAUUGGCUGAACCGCGUGGAAAGUCCCGCCCCUGUCCAUUGGUUCAACAGAGAGGAGCCACGGCAGCACAAGAGACAUCCACCAUGCGAGUGCGCAAGAUAUGCUGCUGGCUCUGCUGUCACUGCUGCUGACCCUUGAUUUUCGGCUCUGCGUCACCACCGACCGAGCAGAGGACACCACGCUCUUUCUUGUGGGGACAACGGUGUAGGCAUCCGGCAACGGGAAGACAGGGUACCUCUCUGAGCUGUUGGGGGUUGAGCGCAAGCAUGGAUGGGAUUCCCUUGCAGUCAGACACACCGGUGGAGUCAGAUAUGCAGUCCUUCCACAGGUUGGAGAAGUAGUUUGAAGUGGUAAGUACAAUACUGUCCACCUCAGACCAUGUCCAGAUUUCUGUGGGCAUCGUAGAGCAGACGAGGAUCCAACCCGCAACACAUAUCACAAAGCAUCCAAUCUCCAUGUACAUAACCACCGUCCUAUACUUCAUUUUUGCAGUUAGUUUAGACUGAGAGGGGGUAAGCAGGUCUAUAAGCUACUCUGUUUAGCAAUAAUGACAAUGCUCAGCAAAAGUCCCUCCUCAGAAGCUGAAUUACAAAACAAACAAGUGGAAAAAGGCUGAACGUUUUCACCCGAAACUCUGAUUGGCUUCUCUUGUAAAGGGCACCUUGUGUUGUUGUCCCUGUGCCAUCCACAC